AUGAACGUUGGUGGCGUGGAUUAGGCAUGCAAGUCGUGCGAGAAGGCCCCGCAAGGGGCCGGACAGCGGCGAACGGGGUAGUAAGGCGUCGGUACGUGCCCUGGGGUCCGGGAUAGCGGCGGGAAACUGCCGGUAAUACCGGAUGACCUCUUUGGAGCAAAGGUGUGAUUCCGCCCUUGGAGCGGCCGACGUGGUACCAGCUAGACGGCGGGGUAACGGCCCACCGUGGCUGUGACGCCUAGGGGGUGUGAGAGCAUGGCCCCCACCACUGGGACUGAGACACUGCCCAGACACCUACGGGUGGCUGCAGUCGAGAAUCUUCGGCAAUGGGCGCAAGCCUGACCGAGCGACGCCACGUGCGGGAUGACGGCCCUCGGGUUGUAAACCGCUGUCGGGGGGGAUGAAGUCACGCAGGGUUCUCCCUGCGUGUUGACAGAGCCCCGGAGGAAGCGCGGGCUAAGUACGUGCCAGCAGCCGCAGUAACAC
rnacentral:rRNA from 1 species